CCUACGGGAGACUGCAGUGGGGAAUAUUGCACAAUGGGGGAAACCCUGAUGCAGCGACGCCGCGUGAGUGAAGAAGUAAUUCGUUAUGUAAAGCUCUAUCAGCAGGGAAGAAAAUGACGGUACCUGAGUAAGACGCCCCGGCUAACUACGUGCCAGCAGCCGCGGUCAUACGUAGGGGGCAAGCGUUAUCCGGAUUUACUGGGUGUAAAGGGAGCGUAGACGGCAGUGCAAGUCUGGAGUGAAAGGCGGGGGCUCAACCCCCGGACUGCUCUGGAAACUGUACGGCUGGAGUGCAGGAGAGGUAAGUGGAAUUCCUAGUGUAGCGGUGAAAUGCGUAGAUAUUAGGAGGAACACCAGUGACGAAGGCGGCUUACUGGACUGUAACUGACGUUGAGGCUCGAAAGCGUGGGGAGCAAACAGGAUUAGAUACCCUUGUAGUC
rnacentral:rRNA from 1 species